rnacentral:rRNA from 1 species
AAAUGACUCUCGGCAACGGAUAUCUCGGCUCUCGCAUCGAUGAAGAACGUAGCGAAAUGCGAUACUUGGUGUGAAUUGCAGAAUCCCGUGAACCAUCGAGUUUUUGAACGCAAGUUGCGCCCGAAGCCUUCUGGCCAGGGCACGUCUGCCUGGGCGUCACAA